rnacentral:rRNA from 1 species
UAAUAAUAUAGAUUGAUUCUGUCUAUUUUAAUUAGCUUUAUUAUAAUUUUAAAUGCAAGUUUUUGCGUGCUAUUAUUUGUCUAAAUGAUAUUUUAUUUUAAUUGCAGUUUUUAGUAUUGAUAAUAUUUUGGAAACAAAGAUUCAGUUAAUUAUAAUUAAAAUUGUUUAAAAUUGUGCCAGCAUACGCGGUUAUACAAUUAAUUUGAGUUAAUUUUUUAGGUUUUUAUUAAUUUUUAAUUUUUGGAAAUUUAUUAUAUAUUAUUAGGUGAAAUUUUAAUGUAUUUUAUAUUUUCUAGGUUUAAGAAUAUAAGAAGUUUAGGAUUUAAACUAGGAUUAGAUACCCUAUUAUUCUAAAUGUAAAACUUUAACCAUGGUAUUAAUAGUUAUGUUCUUUAAAUUAAAAGAAUUUGGCGGUAAUUUAGUCUUUUCAGAGGAACCUGUUCUGUAAU